UGCGACUUCGCAAAGAUUCUAAGCAACUCCUAGCGGUAAUGUUGAUGUUCUCUCCGAAGAUUUGAUAAUAAUGGUGCUCACCCUUUAUGGGCAAGCUCAAAUACCUCAAGCAUUCUAUUGAAUGGCCACUGUUCAUGGACAUAGGGAGUCCAGAGGGAACUGUCGUGGAAUACACGAAGAAGAGGGUAAAACCCAGAUUGGCAUUUUUAGGAGACUAGAAUGCCUGGAAUUUAGCGCGAGCUAAGUCGCCCAUCGCGACAUCACGCUAGCAGUGGUGUAUCUCGUCAAUGGCAUCGUUCCGGAUCCUUACAUAAACUAUUUCUUGAGAUGAGCUACUGAGAAUUUUCUACCUUGCUCCAGGACGAGAUUUUCCACGUCCCGCAAGCUCAGUGCUACUGCAAAAAGGGAUUUUAUACUUGGCAUCCUAUUAUCACAACGCUGCCAGGAUUAUCCAUCAAUAUACUUUUGUCACUGGUACGUGUUUGGCGCAUUUUGCUUCAUCUCGACCCGAGAAAGCGUUGCUUCUCAAAUCCGUGGUACUUGCCUUGUAUCUUUUUCACGCUUCUAUAUUUUACACCGACGUUGGCCAACAGUAGCCAUGAUGGCCAUGCAGGCAUGCUUGAAGAGACCCCUACGCUUUCUAUCUUGGCAAUAAUGUUCCGUGUCUGGACCGUUUUUUGUCUGGACCGAUUUCAUUGGAUCCGUUUGCCUACUAAUAGUGUGCUUGCAAAUCCUAAAUGCCAUAAAACCCUAACUCUUGUCAAAUAUAGAAAUUGUUUUGCACA